CCUACGGGGUGCAGCAGUGAGGAAUAUUGGUCAAUGGACGAGAGUCUGAACCAGCCAUGCAGCGUGAAUGAUGACUGCCCUCUGGGUUGUAAACUUCUUUUAUAUGGGAAUAAAAUGUUCCACGUGUGGGCUUUUGUAUGUACCAUAUGAGUAAGGAUAGGCUAACUCCGUGCCAGGAGCCGCGGUAAUACGGAGGGUCCGAGCGUUAACCGGAUUUAUUGGGUUUAAGGGGAGCGUAGGUGGAUUGUUAAGUCAGUUGUGAAAUUUCGCGGCUCAACCGGAAAACUGCAGUUGAAACUGGCAGUCUUGAGUACAGUAGAGGUGGGUGGAAUUCGUGGUGUAGCGGUGAAAUGCUUAGAGAUCACGAAGAACUCCGAUUGCGAAGGCAGCUCCCUGGACUGCGACUGACGCUGAGGCGCGAAAGUGUGGGGAGCAAACAGGAUUAGAUACCCGAGUAGUC
rnacentral:rRNA from 1 species